rnacentral:lncRNA from 1 species
CCUAGCCUAACCCUAGCGCCGCCACUCCUCUUACUCCCUCCUGCCGUCGCGCCGCCGCCGGAGGACGCCGCCGGGUGAAACCCGUGCGGUCGACGGCGGCGGCGGGGCUUCCUCUCGCGGCGGCGCCUGGAUCUGGUGGGCACAGAUGCGGGUUGCACGUCGGCGUGCGCUAGGACGCGGGUCCUGGCGGUCGAGGCGGAGAUCCACUGCUGGAUGGACGCGCGGCUGUCCCUGGUGAUGGAUCUUCCUCGCGAUGGUGGAUGCGUGCAGGUGCGGAUGGGUGUGCGCUCUCCCGCUCCCGCGGCGCGCUCCGCGCCCUCGGGAGAUCCCGGUGUGCGGCGGCGCUGCUGAUGGCCGGGGUCGGCACGUCGCGGUGGCGCGCGCGGGCUGGCGCUGGCCGGAGGUGGGGAGCGGCGGUUGGAGGCAGGCGGCCCUGCGGUGCGGUGUGCACCGCCGCCGCCGCGCGGGUUCUCGGCUCCAUGUAGAAGAUCUGCCCCUGCUUCGAUCUGUCCCGAUCCGUGCUGGCAUCGGUCCUUGGCGGCGGCUUCGGCGUCCCCUAUGGCCGGCCUGGCGGAUCUGGCGUGCGGGUGAGGUUCCGGGGGAAACCCCUGGCUGGCGCGGCAGCUUCCCCAAAGUCGACGCCUUUGGCGCCGAUCCCCUUCCUGAAGGCUUUGGGGUGGAUCCUCUCCCUUCCGCCUCCUCCUCGAGCUAUGGCGAAAGCUUUUGUUCCCCUGGUCUGGGCGUCGACGGCACCCUGGUGUCGUGCUCCUUCUUGAAGGCGGCGGCUGGGAACAGCUCUUGGUGGCGGGGCUGCUGGUGGCGUGGUGGCUUCGGCCUUCUACUUGGUGCUGCGCCUUGCUUCGCGGGACCAGCGGACGGUUUCUUUGGUGGAGCGGUGCUGCAUCCAUCCAUUGAUGGCGACGGAUCUUGACGGCGUGGCGCAGUGCAGAUUCGGAGUUUGAUGUGUGGUGACGGUCACGCGCAGGAGGUCGACGCUGUCUGGCGUCGUGGUGGCGUCGGCGGCAGCGAGACCGGGCAAGGCCGUUACAACAGUACAGCUCUGAAGAUGGAUAUGUGGUAGGUGGUUGUGGCGGCCUCAUACCCGGCGGGCGGCCUGGUUGAGGAGCACGCCGGACUGGUGGGUGCCCAUACCCGACAGGCGUCCAGGUUGGGACCUCAGGUCUUAGAUGUUAGGUUUGGCUGCGAGGUCUGUUUGGUAUUAGGCCCAGACCAUCAGCGCCCCUUCAUCAGUUAGAUNNNNNNNNNNGCGCGCGCGGGCUGGCGCUGGCCGGAGGUGGGGAGCGGCGGUUGGAGGCAGGCGGCCCUGCGGUGCGGUGUGCACCGCCGCCGCCGCGCGGGUUCUCGGCUCCAUGUAGAAGAUCUGCCCCUGCUUCG